rnacentral:rRNA from 1 species
UACGGGGGGAGCAAGCGUUGUUCGGAUUUACUGGGCGUAAAGGGCGCGUAGGCGGCCAGCGCAAGUCAGUUGUGAAAUCUCCGGGCUUAACCCGGAAAGGUCAGCCGAUACUGCGGGGCUAGAGUGCAGAAGGGGCAACUGGAAUUCUCGGUGUAGCGGUGAAAUGCGUAGAUAUCGAGAGGAACACCUGCGGCGAAGGCGGGUUGCUGGGCUGACACUGACGCUGAGGCGCGAAAGCCAGGGGAGCGAACGGG